UACAGAGGUCUCAAGCGUUGUUCGGAUUCAUUGGGCGUAAAGGGUGCGUAGGCGGCGCCGUAAGUCAGGUGUGAAAUCUCGGGGCUUAACUCCGAAACUGCAUUUGAUACUACGGUGCUUGAGGACUGGAGAGGAGACUGGAAUUUACGGUGUAGCAGUGAAAUGCGUAGAGAUCGUAAGGAAGACCAGUGGCGAAGGCGGGUCUCUGGACAGUUCCUGACGCUGAGGCACGAAGGCCAGGGGAGCAAACGGG
rnacentral:rRNA from 1 species